GUCGACAUACCAAAGAUGUUUACAUGCUGGAAAUCCGUUCCAACACUGGUGGCCUCCCGAGAUGGCUGAUCUAUAUAUAUUGAUCAUAUGGUAUGCUAGUUCCUGGUCCAAAGUUAAGUGAGGAAACUCAGAACAUGACUCACAGGUGCAGAUAUGGGAUCCAUGUGUUGUUCCAUGCACCAACCAUUCCAUGAGUCCCAGGCAUGGAGAUAGGAUUUCCUUGUUUCCUGGGCCCAAGCUAAUAGUAAUCUAUGGACAUUACUUUGAAUGUUGGGAAUCAUGGCUGAGCUGUCCAUAACGGGGUUUGAAGAUCAAGGAGGUCUGGUAACGCCUGAGAUGUAGAAGUGUCCGAGAAAUGAGAGAGAAGGAUGGAAAAGCGUAAUGACGACUACUCGGUCAUGGUUGCAGGAAGGCAUCUACUGCAAGAGCCUCUGGAUCUUGUCUUCAGCUGAAAAAUCUCAG